rnacentral:rRNA from 1 species
UACGUAGGGAGCAAGCGUUGUCCGGAAUCAUUGGGCGUAAAGCGCGCGUAGGUGGCCUCAUAAGUCCGCUGUGAAAGUCAAAGGCUCAACCUUUGAAAGCCGGUGGAUACUGUGAGGCUAGAGUACGGAAGAGGCGAGUGGAAUUCCUGGUGUAGCGGUGGAAUGCGCAGAUAUCAGGAGGAACACCAAUCGCGAAGGCAGCUCGCUGGGACGUUACUGACACUGAGGCGCGAAAGCGUGGGGAGCGAACAGG